rnacentral:rRNA from 1 species
GACGGAGGAUGCAAGCGUUAUCCGGAAUUAUUGGGCGUAAAGCGUCCGCAGGUGGCAUUUCAAGUCUGCUGUCAAAGACCGGGGCUUAACCCCAGAAAGGCAGUGGAAACUGAAAAGCUAGAGAGAGGUAGGGGCAGAGGGAAUUCCCAGUGUAGCGGUGAAAUGCGUAGAGAUUGGGAAGAACACCGGUGGCGAAAGCGCUCUGCUGGACCUUUUCUGACACUCAGGGACGAAAGCUAGGGGAGCGAAUGGG